UACAGGGGUGCAGUAUGCUGAGAGAAGCGGUCGCUUCAACCCUUUAACCUGAUCCAGGUAAUGCUGGCGGAGGGAGAGAGA
rnacentral:ncRNA from 1 species